rnacentral:rRNA from 1 species
UACGGAGGGUGCAAGCGUUAUCCGGAUUCACUGGGUUUAAAGGGUGCGUAGGCGGGCAGGUAAGUCCGUGGUGAAAUCUCCAAGCUUAACCUGGAAACUGCCGUGGAUACUAUUUGUCUUGAAUAUAGUGGAGGUGAGCGGAAUAUGUCAUGUAGCGGUGAAAUGCUUAGAUAUGACAUAGAACACCCAUUGCGAAGGCAGCUCGCUACACUAUUAUUGACGCUGAGGCACGAAAGCGUGGGGAUCAAACAGG